AGCCUGCAGCCCAGCCCCACCCAGACCCAUGGCUGGACCUGCCGCCCAGAGCCCCAUGAAGCUGAUGGGUGAGUGUCUUGGCCCAGGAUGGGAGAGCCGCCUGCCCUGGCAUGGGAGGGAGGCUGGUGUGACAGAGGGGCUGGGGAUCCCUGUUCUGGGAAUGGGGAUUAAAGGCACCCAGUGUCCCCGAGAGGGCCUCAGGUGGUAGGGAACAGCAUGUCUCCUGAGCCCGCUCUGUCCCCAGCCCUGCAGCUGCUGCUGUGGCACAGUGCACUCUGGACAGUGCAGGAAGCCACCCCCCUGGGCCCUGCCAGCUCCCUGCCCCAGAGCUUCCUGCUCAAGUGCUUAGAGCAAGUGAGGAAGAUCCAGGGCGAUGGCGCGGCGCUCCAGGAGAAGCUGUGUGCCACCUACAAGCUGUGCCACCCCGAGGAGCUGGUGCUGCUCGGACACUCUCUGGGCAUCCCCUGGGCUCCCCUGAGCAGCUGCCCCAGCCAGGCCCUGCAGCUGGUGAGUGUCAGGAAAGGAUAAGGCUAAUGAGGAGGGGGAAGGAGAGGAGGGACACCCAUGGGCUCCCCCAGGUCUCCAGGUUCCAAGCUGGGGGCCUGACGUAUCUCAGGCAGCACCCCCUAACUCUUCUGCUCUGUCUCACAGGCAGGCUGCUUGAGCCAACUCCAUAGCGGCCUCUUCCUCUACCAGGGGCUCCUGCAGGCCCUGGAAGGGAUCUCCCCCGAGUUGGGUCCCACCUUGGACACACUGCAGCUGGAUGUCGCCGACUUUGCCACCACCAUCUGGCAGCAGAUGGAAGAACUGGGAAUGGCCCCUGCCCUGCAGCCCACCCAGGGUGCCAUGCCGGCCUUCGCCUCUGCUUUCCAGCGCCGGGCAGGAGGGGUCCUGGUUGCCUCCCAUCUGCAGAGCUUCCUGGAGGUGUCGUACCGCGUUCUACGCCA
rnacentral:sRNA from 1 species